CUCUUUCUCUCGAUCUCUCCGCGACCCAGCCCCCUCCCCCCUUCGAUUUUUCACACAGCGCCGCACCUCCAAACCUCCAUAACCACCGACGCCGACCACCCCAACCCUCGAGACCGGACCCAAAACAUCCGGCCAGACCUCGCCGUCACACCCCGAGCCUUCGCCGCCCCCUUCGGUCUUCCAGGCGCCGGAAUAUGGCGAAAACAAGCCGGUUUUCCCUCGAAUUUCACGGCCGUCGUUCUCCGUCCUCCGGCCACCAAUUUUGGCAAUCAAGAUUCUCAGAAGCUCCUCACCUUCACGACAUUCACAGGCACCUCCAGGAGCUCUUCAACUUCGCAAACUCUUGCACGUUUACUUCUCCAACUCCCAAAGCUUCAAACUUUUCAGCCUUUCAGUUGUGAAUAUGGGGAAGAAGCCCUCGACGAAGAAGUCAACUUCCCAGAAACGCUGCAAAGACAAAGGUGUAACUACGCCGGUGGCGCGGAACAAGGCAGCAAAGGGAAACAACAACCGUUCUGUUGUAACCAGUGAGCGAGGUUCUAGUUCCACAGCAUACCACUCAAAUCCUGUUGAUCACCCUUUGUUUGGCGUGAGGUGACACACACAAGAACCACAACUAAUCGGAUCCUGUGCUACAUGUCAAUGUCACUGACCAUUUAUCUUAUAAGAAUACUUUGACACGCAUUAAGGGAUGAGGAAACAACACACUCUGUGGUUUAUGGUAUCGGCAUGAAUUGCGUCCUCGAGUGCAGGAGAGAGUAGAUUCUGUGGGGUUUUCAAACUUUGCAAUUUUACUUGGAACAAAGGGAAGAAGAGACAAACACCUCCUGAUGGCAUUGGCAGAGCGAUGGUGGGACACAAUAUAUACAUUCCAUUUAGAUGAGCUCGGGGAGCUUACCAUGACCCCAAAGGACUUCAGUUCCAUUACGGGUUUACUCGUAUGUGGGAAGUCUUUAGAGUAUGACAUGGAGGCCCAUACCAAAAUUGAGGAGAUGGUGAGGCUCUUUGGGGACCCCAUUCGAAGCAUCCUUAAUGCCAAUACAGGGACAUUGUUAAUAAGUACAAGAGGUGGAAGCCUCAAACCCCUGAACAAGAAGACCAGUUAACGCGUCUUCAUUCUUGCAGUGCUUGGUAGCAGUUUGUGCAAUGAUAAGAGUGAUUCUGUGUAUUUAUAUUACAUGCCAAGCCUGGUUAAAGUUGAGGAAAUUAAAGACUAUAAUUGGGGAGGGGCUAGAUUGGCAUGCUUGUAUCUAUUAAUGGAUGCUCUUUCUCGAGGGCUAGUGGCAAGCAUAGGAGGUUAUUGGCGAGCAUGGGAGUUUAUAGGUAUGGGCUUGCGAGUACUUGAAGCCACUUGCUUUAACUCGACCAUUGACUGAUGUGGAUUUGUUUCUGCGGGUAUAUCGCUGGUUAUCUGCCCCAGAUGUGCGGGAAACAUCCCACAACUUGGAGCAGUUUAGGACAAUACUCCGAUAUAUCAGUACUGAUCAAGUGAAUUGACAUCCGUGGGGAAUCGAUGAUGCGAACUUACAUUAUUAUGUGAAAAAAGCAUUCCUAUGACAAAAAAAAAAGGAUUCUACUGCAAAGACCAGUCGGGUAUACUUGGUAUUUAGGAGAAAGGGUAUCUAUGCAAAGCUUAGGUACAACAGCUGCGAGCCCCAAAAAGACUCCCUAGAACCAUGCUUAAAGUCAUGAAAGUACUUGCUUCGGACAAAGAAAUUAAAGCAUCACUUAAAGGCUUUAAUGCAGAGGGUUGGUUGGCUGAAUCCACUGAUUAUCUACUCUUUCGAAAUGAGUAUGUCAGAUAUAAGCAUUAUCCAACUGUCAUCAAUAAUAGUGCAAAAGAAGGUGUGUGCUCUGUUGGUUCGAACUUUCAAGCUAGUGAAAUUAAAAUUCCUUCAUGGAGUGUUGAAGUGGUGGGAUGGGGGGACGCAAAUGAUUGUGAAGUGUUGGAUAUCCCAAGAGGCAAGUCUAGCACGUGCCUACCACUCCCGGAGGAUGUGAAAUAUGUAAGUGCAUCGACGGCAACACAACUAUUGGAUAUGAUUAGUGGGCUAAAUUCAUUGCUCUUCAGUAAAUGCAUGGCUGCUAGGACAAUCAUAAGUGAGCUUCGACAGGGGGGACACACUUAACAUAAUCAUAACCCCUUUGCUAGAAAAGAAAUUGCUGAUGCGGAAGAUGACUUUUGUUUUGUAUAUGAGGAUGAUGAGGAGAACGAUAAUGGUUUUCAGACAUCAUGUGAGGAUGGUGAGGAGGAUGAGGAAUACGUGGAGGAUGAGGAGGUCGAGGAAAACAGGGAUGAGGAUGAAAAUGACCAGGAGGGCGAGGAAGAUGAGGUAUUAGUGGAGGAGACCACAACCAAGCCACCACCCCCUAACACCAAAGGAAAAGGAGCUAUGGCGAUUAAAGGAAAAGGCAAAGCAUCACCACAAAAGCGCAAGGCCUCUUUGCCGGAACUAGAACCACACCUAAUUAGUAAGAGGCUAAGGCUAAGGAAGAAAACAUAAAUUGUGUUAUGGGUAUUUUGUCUUUGUAAUAUACGUUGAUAAAAUUGUGAAACGUAAGUGAGAUCAUAUAUUUUGUGGUAGAUGUUAACUGGUAGCUUAUGUAAUUUGUUUGAUGUUACAAACUUAUUAUAUAAUGAUGUCAAAUAUGAUCGUCUAUUGUUGUCUGU